GUGGGUAGUUUGACUGGGGCGGUCUCCUCCCAAAGAGUAACGGAGGAGCACGAAGGUUAGCUAAUCCUGGUCGGACAUCAGGAGGUUAGUGCAAUGGCAUAAGCUAGCUUGACUGCGAGAGUGACGGCUCGAGCAGGUGCGAAAGCAGGUCAUAGUGAUCCGGUGGUUCUGAAUGGAAGGGCCAUCGCUCAACGGAUAAAAGGUACUCCGGGGAUAACAGGCUGAUACCGCCCAAGAGUUCAUAUCGACGGCGGUGUUUGGCACCUCGAUGUCGGCUCAUCACAUCCUGGGGCUGAAGUAGGUCCCAAGGGUAUGGCUGUUCGCCAUUUAAAGUGGUACGCGAGCUGGGUUUAGAACGUCGUGAGACAGUUCGGUCCCUAUCUGCCGUGGGCGCUGGAGAAUUGAGGGGGGCUGCUCCUAGUACGAGAGGACCGGAGUGGACGCAUCACUGGUGUUCGGGUUGUCAUGCCAAUGGCACUGCCCGGUAGCUAAAUGCGGAAGAGAUAAGUGCUGAAAGCA
rnacentral:rRNA from 1 species